AUAGUUGCUUUCUCAAAGGGUGGUUGUGAAAAUUAAAUGAGAGAAUGUGAAUAAAGUGUACGAAAAAAAAUUAGAAAUUAUCAUUAUUCUGAAUAUAACUGAAUUCACCCCAACAGUGAGAAUGUGGGAGUCUAAAUGUGGAUCACGAAUCUCAACCAUCUGGUUUGGCCUCUGAGAGAUAAAGCCUAGAAAAUUCCUUGACCUUCCACUCUCCUACCCAACCCGUGCCUUUAGAGGAUGCCAUCACAACCAGAAUUGUUCUCACCUCUGUCCUCACUUCUAAAACCGAUUUGAAGUCAUUGGACAUAGAAGCCAGUUUCGACUAGAAGAAAAGGAGAGAGGGUCAACCAAAGAAGGCUCCACAUUCUUCCUCUUUGCCUCCCUCCCUUCCUCCCCAGGUCCCACCUGCAAGGAGACCACAAUGGUGUUGGAGUGGGUCUGCAGGUGCCGGCCACUCUGGCUGCCCUUGGCUCUCACGAAAUCCUGGAGCUGAGCAAUUUGUUUGUUGAGGCUAUUGAUGUCCUGGUAAAAGAGUCCAAGGAAAAACAAAGUAUUAGCCAAGGAGUCCUUAGUCAGCAUCUCUCACGAUGGCCAUCUCUGGUAGGAAGGACAAGGUGGAAGUUACUAGCCAGAGUGAGAGUAUCUCAGACAGUCAGACCAGAUGGGCCUGCUAGGAUUUUCCAAGGUCUAGUGUUUGCUCUGGCUCAGUCCCUGCAGAGAAGAGCUACAAAGAGGCAAAAUAGGCCUUCAUCCAUUGUAAAUAACUUGUUUACUCCUCCAGCCUACUGCCCUGCUCCAUUCUGUGAGGCCAUGCUCUUGGCCACAGAACCCUUUCAAAGGCCAAAAUCUCGGGUCUAGGGCAUGACCAACAAAGCCCCCGGACAGUACUCAGGAAAAGGGAAGAGUCAAAGGCACUGUAGUUUCGAGAGGCAUCAACAGAACUAUUUUCAUACACACAAUUCCUCAAUGGCUAAUGUCUGUAAACCCACCACUUUGAGAGGCCAAGGCAGGCAGAUCAUGAGGUCAAGAGAUUGAGACCAUCCUGGCCAACAUGGUGAAAUGCCAUCUCUACUAAAAAUACCAAAAAUUAGCUGGGUGUGGUGGCGCGCGCCUAUAAUCCCAGCUACUUGGGAUGCUGAGGCAAAAGAAUCGUUUUGAACCUGGGAGGUGGAGGUUGCAGUGAGCCUAGAUCGCGCCACUGCACUCCAGCCUGGCGACAGAGUGAGACUCCGUCUUAAAAAAAAAAAAAGUUAUUAUUGGCCUGGCGCGGUGGCUCACGCCUGUAAUCCCAUCACUUUGGGAGGCUGAGGUGGGCGGAUCACCUGAGGUCAGGAGUUUGAGACCAGCCUGACCAACGUGGAGAAACCCUGUCUCUACUAAAAAUACAAAAUUAGCCGGGCGCGGUGGCACGUGCCUGUAAUCCCAGCUAUUCGGGAGGCUGAGGCAGGGGAGUCACUUGAACCCAGGAGACAGAGGUUGCAGUGAGCUGAGAUCGCGCCACUGUGCUCCAGCCUGAGCAACAAGAGUGAAACUCUGUCUCAAAAAAUAAUAAUAAAUAAAUAAAUAAAUAAAAUAAAAGUUAUUAUUACAGUCGAGUGCAGUGGCUCACACCUGUAAUCCCAGCACUUUGGGAGGCCAAGGUGGGCGGCUCACUUGAGGUCAGGAGUUCGAGACCAGCCUGGCAUACCCCGUCUCUACUAAAGAUAAAACAAUUAGCCAGUCAUUGGUAGCGGGUGCCUAUAGUCCCAGCUACUGGGGAGGCUGAGGCAGGAGAAUCGCUUGCACCUGGGAGGUGGAGGUUGCAGUGAGCCAAGAUCGCACCACUGCACUCCGGCCUGGGUGAAAGAGCAAAACUCUGCCUCAAAAAAAAAAAAAAAAAAAAAAUUAUCCAGGAAUGAGGGCAUGUCCCUGUAGUCUCUACCACUCAGGAGGCUCAGGCUGGAGGAAAGCUUGAGGCCAGGAGUUAAGGGCUGCAGUGAGCUAGGUCACACCACUACACUCCAGACUGGUCAACACAGUGAGACCCCCCUCUCUAAAAAAAGAAACUUGCUCUGGGUCCCCAUGGCAAUGGAAAAUGACAGGAAGACAGAAGUGAUCUGAUUGGAAUGCUGGGCUCUCCUGAUGGCUAGUAGCUCACCUGUUUGAUGAUAUAUGUUAGCUCUUCAAUUUCCACUGCUUUAUCAUCAAAGAGGGACUUGCGCUUUGCCACUACAGAGACAAACAAGAAGCCACAAUGGGUGAGGUCAAGGACAAAGCUCAGGGAAUAUAGUCCUCAACCCUCUUUGAUUUACUGCCCCACUUCUGAAAGACCCCAAGAACACUCACAGAUUGUCAGCUUCUCCAGCUUGGCAAAUGUGUUGCUAAGGUCUUUCCCAAUGCGCCUGCAAAUGACCACUAGUCAGACUGUGGGAAAGGGCAGGACGCCUUUUCCCACAUAAGCUCCAGCAUAACCAAUCCCAGACUUCACAGCCAAGGCCACUGAUUGCAAGUCUACUUUUCUUCAGACACUGUAUCACCCCACCAGAAAGCUUCUCUCAACUCACUUGGCCAUGAGGGUGAAUUCACUGCGUUGUCGGACAGCACGCAAAGCUGGCUUAUUUGUCUGGAUUCCAUUCUGAAAAGCAAUGGCAGGAGGUGACAACUUUAGUUCUCCCUUCCCCAGUUCCAGCUUUCACUCUUCCUGAGGUGUCCACUAACCUAUCUCUAGUGCUGGUGGCAUCCAUCAGAUGAUCUAGAUUUAUGAGUGGUAGUCGUUUAGAGUCCAGAUUUGAAGAGCAGGUAGACCUGAGUUCAAAUCUUGACUCACCACUUACUACUAGCUGGUGGAUUUGGGGCGAGUUACUUAAAACAUUCUAAAUCUCUACUUUCUCUUCUAUAAAAUGAAGACAAUCCACACAUCUCCUAUUGUUGCUAAGGUUAAAUAACAAAAAGGCUGAAAAGUACUUCAGUCAACUACCUGGUACAUAGUAAGCACUAAAUAAAUGGUAUCUAGUAUUGCCAUUCUAUUCCUCAAAUCAGGAAAUCAAUAAGGAUGAUUGCAAAGCUCUUGGAGAUCAUACAGAAGAGCAGCUUUACCAUGAGCUGAAAAACACUUCUUUAUAACUUUUCUGUUUUUGAGACAGGGUCUCACUCUGUCUCCCAGGUUGGAAUAUAGUAGCAUGAUCAUAACUUACUGCGGCCUCGACAUCCUGGGCUCAAGUGAUCCUCCAACUUCAGCCUCCCAAGUAGCUGGGACUACAGGGCACACCACCACACCUAGCUAAUUUUUAACUUUUUGUAGAGAUAGGGUCUUGCUAUAUUGCCCAGGCUGGUCUUGAACUCCUAGGCUCACGCAAUCCUCCCACCUCAGCCUCCCAAAGUGCUGGGAUUACAGGUGCCAGCCAGCAUGUCCAGCCAUCAGUAAAAAUAUUUAAAAAUACAGUUACUCGGCCGGGUGCAGUGGCUCACGCCUGUAAUCCCAGCACUUUGGAAAGCUGAGGCAGGCGGAUCACGAGGUCAAGAGAUUGAGACCAACCUGGCUAACAUGGUGAAACCCCAUCUCUACUAAAAAUACAAAAAUUUAGCCAGGUGUGGUGGCAUGCACCUGUAGUCCCAGCUACUCAGCAGGCUGAGGCCGGAGAAUCACUUGAACCUGGGAGGUGGAGGCUGCCGUGAGCCAAGAUCCCACCACUGCACUCCAGCCUGGGUGACAGAGCGAGACUCCGUCUCAAAAUAAAUAAAUAAAUAAAUAAACAAACAAACAAACAAAUAAAUAAAUACAGUUACUUGGCCAGGUGCAGUGGCUCACACCUGUAAUCCCAGCAUUUUGGGAGGCCGAGGCAAGCAGAUCACGAGGUCAAGAGACAGAGACCAUCCUGGCGAACACAGUGAAACCCCGUCUCUACUAAAAAUACAAAAAUUAGCUGGGUGUCCUGGCACCGCCUGUAUUCCCAGCUACUUGGGAGGCUGAGGCAGGAGAAUCACUUAAACCCAGAGGUGGAGGCUGCAGUGAACCCAGAUCACGUCACUGCACUCCAGCCUGGCAACAAAGAGAGACUGUCUCAAAAACAAACAAACAAACAAACAAACAAACAAACACAAACUGCUUACUCGGGUCCCACUGGGAUUGUUGAAAAAAACACUCCCGGCUGGGUACGGUGGCUCACGCUUGCAAUCCCAGCACUUUGGAAGGCUGAGGCGGGCAGAGCACCUGAGGUCGGGAGUUUGAGACCAGCCUGACCAAUAUGGAGAAACCCCGUCUCCACUCAAAAUACAAAAUUAGCCAGGCAUGGUGGCGCAUGUCUGUAAUCCCAGCUACUUGGGAGGCUGAGGCAGGAGAAUCACUGGAACCCGGGAGGCGGAGGUUGCAGUGAGCUAAGAUCGUGCCACUGCACUACAGCCUGGGCAACAAGAGCGAAAUUCCCAUCUCAAAAAUAAAUAAAUAAAUAAAUAAAUAAAUAGCACUCCCAAAUUUUUUUUAAGAGGAGCUGAGUGCAGUGGCUGACACCUGUAAUCCCAGCACUUUGAGAAGAUAAAGCAGACGGAUCACUUGAGCCCAGAAGUUCGAGACCAGCCUGGGCAACAUGGUAAAACCCCAUCUCUACUAACAAAACAGAAAUUAGCCAGAUGUGGUGGCACAUGCCUAUAAUCCCAGCUACUGAGGAGCCUGAGGCAGGAGGGUUGCUUGAGCCCAGGAGGUCAGAUGUUGCAGUGAGAUGAGAUAGAACCAUUGUACUCCAGCCUUGGUGACAGAGUGAGACCAUGUUUCCAAAAAAGGAGAGAGAGAGGCCAGGUGUGGUGACUCAUACCUGUAAUCCCAGCACUUUGGGAGGCUGAGG
rnacentral:lncRNA from 10 species